rnacentral:rRNA from 1 species
AUUGAACGCUGGCGGCAGGCCUAACACAUGCAAGUCGAACGAGUGGCGGACGGGUGAGUAAUGUCUGGGAAACGGCCUGAUGGAGGGGGAUAACUACUGGAAACGGUAGCUAAUACCGCAUACCAUCGGAUGUGCCCAGAUGGGAUUAGCUAGUAGGUGGGGGACAGGCUCACCUAGGCGAAGAUCCCUAGCUGGUCUGAGAGGAUGACCAGCGACACGGGAACGUAGACACUGUCCAGACGCCGACGGGAGGCAGCAGUGGGGAAGAUUGCACAAUGGGCGCAAGCCUGAUGCAGCCAUGCCGGGUGUAUGAAGAAGGCCUUCGGGUUGUAAAGUACUUUCAGCGGGGAGGCGUUACCCGCAGAAUAAGCACCGGCUAACUCCGUGCCAGCAGCCGCGGUAAUAC